UGUUGAGAUGUUAAGUAUUAUUGUGUUGAGGCAUUGUGGGUUCUCCUGGACUUUCUGUUUGAGUCAUUGGUUCUCUUGGAGAAGUUUUGGUCCUCACAUCGAGCAUUGCUUCCUGGCUCUGGAGAGGAAGACGUGUGCUGCUUGGUCUCCAGGAUGAACUCAUCAUGCUGGCAUCAUGGCAUGUGUCUGACUGUGUUUGUCAUCAGAGGAGCUUGGGCCUCCAUUUUGCUGAAGAUGGCUGUGGUGCCUUUCAGGACAGCCCUGGGCUUUGUUGUGAGUGUGACUUCUUGGCUCCAGUGUAGAACCCUCAUCCCACCACCAUAGCUCCUUCACCCUGCUGGCAUGGACUUUCUGGUUUACACCGCUGACCUUUGGGCCUUCCUGUCAUGGAUCCAUAAAAGAGACAGGUGUGAGUCCUUGUGGGCUCUGGACAUCCAGUUGGACUCAUGAGAGGAAGUACUUACCAUGAUUCUUGCCAGUAUGAGAGGAGCAACCUUACAGGAGAAAAGAAAAGAAAAGAAAAGAAAAGAAAAGAAAAGAAAAGAAAAGAAAAGAAAAGAAAAGAAAAGAAAAGAAAAGAAAAGACCACUAGAGAGACAGAUAACGAUCCUGUGGAUAUGGUGCUCAUGGUGCCCAACAGGAGCUCAGUGAAGGCUGCUGCCUGGAACCAUAAGAGAGACUUUCUCUGAACAUACGUGGUCAGCACUGUGUCCUCAACCACCUGAUCCCCGGAUCUGUGGUAUUCAUCUUCCAGCUCUGCCCCAAAGUAAAAUCAGCCAUUUAACACUGAAUCCACACAGGAUAUCAAGGCGGCUGUGAGAGGACAAUUAAAGUCACUCAUGAGCCAGGGAUGUAACUCAGCAGCAUACGUACCUGCCUGGCCAGUCCGUAAAGUCCUUUGUUUUCUACAGUCUGUGAUCCAGAGGUCAUGCAUGAGUCCUCCUGAGCAAGAUAGAGGGAGCCAGAAAAAGAUUGGUGAGGAUAAACUCAAAACUUUCCACAACUAAACAUCAAGAAUGGCACCCCUUGCUCAAGCAAGUCACUUCUCCUGGGGCCCUGUUACAGCUGUGGGAUCCUCACAGAAUCAUGGAGCCAGGGACCAGGAACUGUCAUGAGCCAACAGAAGGCCACACGAGGCCCACUGUGCUCCACAGGCCACUGUCAUGAGGGGGAGGAGCUCACUCUUUUUCAUAUUUCAUAAACUAUUUCCAGAAUAAAGGUUUCCAAUGUAUUUCAAACUGCUUACUUAUCCUUCAUCCUCUCUCUCUCUCUCUCUCUCUCUCUCUCUCUCUCUCUCUCUCUGUCUCUGUCUCUGUCUCUUUUU